AUCUCUGUAGAGUCUGCAUAUCAAUAAGCGGAGGAAAAGAAACUAACAAGGAUUCCCCUAGUAACGGCGAGUGAAGCGGGAAGAGCUCAAAUUUGAAAUCUUAAAGGGUUUCCCUUUACGAAUUGUAGUUUAAAGAAGUGUUUUCUGUUGGAGUUUCGGUAAAAGUUCUUUGGAAUAGGACAUCAUAGAGGGUGAGGAUCCCGUAUUUGACCGUUACUUUCCAGCUGUGUGAUACACUUUCAAAGAGUCGGAUUGUUUGGGAAUGCAGUCCAAAAUGGGUGGUAAAUUUCAUCUAAAGCUAAAUACUGGCGAGAGACCGAUAGCGAACAAGUACCGUGAGGGAAAGAUGAAAAGAACUUUGAAAAGAGAGUUAAACAGUACGUGAAAUUGUCAAAAGGGAAGCGUUUGACACCAGUGUUGUUUUCUCGAAAAUCAAUUAAAAAUGGCAUGAUUUUGUGUUGUAUUGACCUUUAUCAAGCUUUCUUCACUUUUUUCCUGUCUAUUUUUAAUGCACUUUUCGUUUAACAAGUCAACAUCAGUUUCUUUUGUUGUAAAAAGGGUCAUUGGAAGGUGGCUUUCUUUUCGGAGAAAGUGUUUAUAGCCUUUGACUUCUGCAAUCGGAGAGAUUGAGGUCUGCAGCGUAGAUCCUUCGGGGUUAGAUGCAUUUGUGCUAAGUUAUAGCCUUUCAUAGACAACUUGUUGACUAUGAUCAGUCAUGUAGCUUACUCGCUUAUGUCAUUUUACCUACGCUUAGGAUGUUGAUCUCUCACAGUCGAGC
rnacentral:rRNA from 1 species